ACUCACAGUAACAUAAGUCAGGGAGAAAUGGACGGGGAGUUUGAGAGAGAAGUUGAUGACGAUGGGUGGGGUCCAGGUACGGGAAAGUGGAAACAAUUGGGGAUACAGGUGGCAAAUGUAAUGACGGUUGUAGGCAGGAUGGACCCAAUUCAGAAAGAAAAAGAAGGGAUAGAAGAGAAAUUGCGACAAGUGGUGCGUGAGGCAGGAUUAAGGAUAAUAAGGAGAAGGAUCGUUCCAAAAAUCGAGAUAGAGUUAGAGACAAGAAGGAAACAGGAAAUUUGGUCAAGAGAGGGAGAUAUAGAGAAAAGGAAAAGGAAUGGGAAAAGCACAGAAAAGAAUGGUGUAAAUUAGCAGUGUGGUGUCAGGGCGUAGACCAUUUGAACAAAGAGAAAAAGGAACAGAAAAUUAAGGAGGAGAAAAAGGGAGGAGAGAUAGAACCCCCAGCAUACGAAGAUGACUUGGUGCUUGGUACAGAGCGUGCACCAUUAUAUCCAGUGUUACGUUUAGAGAGUGGGAUAUUGUCUUUAGACACAGAACAGCAAGCCCAUAAAUCAAUUCACAGGAAAGCAAGAUAAGAGAGGGUUGAGUAGGAAGGCAGAGUCAGAGAGCGAGACAGACACUGAGGGGGAGGUGGGGCCGUUCGGGGCAGGGGCAGAGAGAGAGUACGGGAGGUACGAGGAGAGGAGCGAGAAGGGGAGACAGCUAGGAGAGAAUAAACAGGAUGCCAGAAAGAAAUAAACAGGAGCCAGAAAGAAAAGAUCAGGCCGUACUAAAGGCAGGUUAGGUGAGGACUCAAAGUCGGGGUCGGGGUUGGACGAUAGUGACACAGUGAGAAGGACAAAAACUAGGCAGAAAAAAGGAAAUUCACAUAGAGGACGGGUGUUACUCACGGGGAAAGCAGUAGGGAGAUGGACUGACUCAGAUGAAGACCCCGACGCAGACAGUAGUGGAGAUUGGAGUAAGGGAGACGCAGACGUAUACCCUCUGCCGCGUUCGCCCCCACCAGAACAAGAACUACACCAUGACGCAUUAGAAUCGAUUCAAAGGACUCAUUUUGUCCCAGUACUUCAAGUGGAGGCCGUGGAUCUCCCUCCUCGAGCCGUACUUUCCUCUGCCAGACCCCCCACAUGUAAGCCUAUUUUAUGAUCGGCAGGGCGAUGAGGUGUAUAGAGAGGGGUUUGGGGAUGUAGUGUGUGGGGACACGUGGCAGGUCGGGUCUAAAUUCAUAUAUGUAGGCCCUGUAGGGGUAGCGGCACAGUUGACAGUUGACAGUAGCAGUUGACAGUAGCGGCAGUAGAUGUACAGUUGACAGAGGAGCAGGAUCAGUGGUACAUGAUGGCGGAGGAGUCCGUCCCGCAUGUGUCACUGGCCCUGCAUCCUAAACACCAAGCAAAAGACCUGGGGCCCAUGGUUAAAAGGGCGGUCGAAUGUACUGACUGGACACUCACUCAGGCGCAAAACGUAUGGUACUCGCACAGCUGUAAGACGUAGAAAUGGUUCACCUGCAUUGACCUGGCUAACGCUUUUUUCUGUCUCCCACUAGCAGAGGAACUUCGUGAUAUUUUUUCUUUCACACAUAGGGGUCGACAAUGGCGAUACACAAGACUAUCACAGGGGUUUGUGCUUUCCCCUGGCAUAUUAAACCAGGUACUGAGAAAAGUGCUGCAGGGAUGCUGCCUGCCGACAGGGGUAACUUUGGUCCAGUACGUAGACGACCUGCUGCUGGCGGCCCCGACGGUGAUCCAAAAACAAGUUGGAUCCAAGCUACAAUGACGGCCCUCACCAGACUGGCUGAGAAAGGGUUCAAGGUGUCAAAAGAAAAGCUACAGCUGAAUUCACCAACAGAGUCGGAGAACGGAGGGACCUACACCCGCUGGACCAGAACCUGCCCCAGGCGGAGUGGGUGUUGCUGAAGGUCAUCAAGCGAAAGUGGUCGGAGCCAAGGUGGACGGGUCCUCAUCAGGUGGUGGAGAGAACGAGUCAUGCGGUCCGCCUGAGGGACAAAGGAGAGACCUGGUACCAUUGGAGCCAGUGUACACCAGCGCAGGAGCCAGGGAGGUCGCUGACGGACCUCAUCCAAACCGGGAAGGAGGAACUUUCCCCAGUGUGGACGGAAGGAGGACCAGCACCAGUCAGACCGGUGCCAGGAGCGGACCCCAGGACACGACGGGACUACAAGCGAGUGAAGGAGACAAAGGACGGCGCCAGGGGAAUAGACUCUUAGGGGAAAGAACUGAAGAAUACUGUAACAAAAGGGGGUAUAGGACACCGAGUGGCUACCACUCGUACCAAGAUGACAGGGUCACAGAGAAAGGUCUGAGGAGUUGAGAAUAGAAUGAUUGGUGGAAUAAUGAUGUGUGUUGUAUGUUGUUAACAGGUUUCCCAGGUUGGCAUCGGGUCUUCAUUCCCCCAGUGAAGAGGUUCGCGACCCCACCUGAGGACACCUGUGUGAGGAAAUUUGGGGGAUUGAAUUGGACUAUGUCAAGGGGUUGGAUACGAGCAUUCUGGGAUAGAUAAUCCGCUGGAGGAAUGGCUAACCUCGAUGUUCGGCCAGUGGAAAGGUUUGAUAAUGUCUGUUCUUUUAUCGCUUGCUACAUUUGGUGCUAUAAUGGUUACUUGUGGGUGUUGUUGUAUCCCAUGCAUAAGAGGGCUUGCCAUGAGAGUGAUUUCUACAGCCAUUGAGAAGGCUCCAGGAUCGCCACCAGGGAUGCUGAUGCCUCUACUGAAGCAGCAUGGAGAACUGGAGCUUGGCGAAUAGGGGUGAUCUCUCAAAUAUAUUGAUUGUAUAAGUUAGUGAACUGUUAUAAGCUGUUGUAACCAAUGAAGCAAAAUAUUAAUUGUUUGUAAUAUGAGAUAAAACGGAAGGUGCAAGUAGGAGAAUAGGAAACCAUGUUCAAGCGGUUGCCGGGGAGAGAAGAUUUAGUAUGUCUGUCUUUUGAGAAACAGGACACAGGUUAGAGACACACACACAUAGUCUGACAGACAAGACAGAAACCAGAAGGGGGCAAGAAGAUGUUUGUAGUUUUCCUUAUAAGGAAUAGAACUGGACCAAUAGCACACUUGCUUUGUGAACUUAACGACUCUAUCUUUUGGGCGUAGUUGAAGUAUAAAAUGAUGUUUUGACUGUUGAUCCUGAGACAUUGUGCGGCGACACUUGUAAGCUUUUGUAAUAAACGGAAUAUGCGG
ensembl:lncRNA